AGAGUUUGAUCAUGGCUCAGAGCGAACGCUGGCGGAAUGCUUAACACAUGCAAGUCGCACGGGGGCUUCGGCUCUAGUGGCGGACGGGUGAGUAACGCGUAGGAACGUGUCCUGGGAUGGGGGAUAACGCUGGGAAACUGGCGCUAAUACCGCAUGUCUGCUGAGGCAGAAAGCCUUUGGGUGUCUUGGGAGCGGCCUGCGUCCGAUUAGCUAGUUGGUGGGGUAAAGGCUUACCAAGGCGACGAUCGGUAGCUGGUCUGAGAGGACGAUCAGCCCACUGGGACUGAGACACGGCCCCAGACUCCUACGGGGAGGCAGCAGUGGGGGAAUAUUGGACAAUGGGCGGAAGCCUGAUCCAGCAAUUCCGCGUGGGUGAAGAAGGUCUUCGGAUUGUAAAGCCCUUUCGGCGGGGACGAUGAUGACGGUACCCGCAGAAGAAGCCCCGGCUAACUUCGUGCCAGCAGCCGCGGUAAUACGAAGGGGGCUAGCGUUGCUCGGAAUUACUGGGCGUAAAGGGCGCGUAGGCGGCGCAGUUAGUCAGGCGUGAAAUUCCUGGGCUUAACCUGGGGACUGCGCUUGAUACGGCUGUGCUAGAGGGUGGAAGAGGCUCGCGGAAUUCCCAGUGUAGAGGUGAAAUUCGUAGAUAUUGGGAAGAACACCGGUGGCGAAGGCGGCGAGCUGGUCCAUUACUGACGCUGAGGCGCGACAGCGUGGGGAGCAAACAGGAUUAGAUACCCUAGUAGUCC
rnacentral:rRNA from 1 species